GAGCUGCUGAACGUUUGCUGGCUGGAAAUUCAUGGAUGGUUCAACACGGUCAAUCUCACACCAAGAACUCUCUAUCAGGUUGUAUUUGUUCUUAUGUUAAAAGAUCCUGCUUAUGGAUGGGGAAUUCCAGUGAACUUCAGACUCAUUCUAGCAGAUGGAAGCAGACAGGAACACAAAGAAAAUAUGAUGGAAAAACCUAGGGGAAAGUGGAUAGAAAUCCUAGCAGGAGAAUUUGAGACGUUGCCAGAGAAUGAUGGGAAUAUGGAGUGUUCAAUGUAUGAAUAUGAGGGUGGGGGGUGGAAGAGAGGACUGGUCAUAAAAGGAAUUCUCAUUCGACCAAAAGACUGAAGUUCUUCAGCAAUCCGCUACGACUGCAGAGGCAAUUUAUGCUGGCCAAAGUUUACUUUCAAAUCACACGGGAUGAAGAAUCCAAUUACAAAAACCAGUGUACUGAGGAAUCAAAACAACAAGAUGAUGCUUUUAUAAAUAAAAUGCCUUAAAUUUCUCCUACAAAAAAUUUAUCUUUUACACCGUCUGUGUAUAAACACUCUGAAGCACGUUGGUUGUUUAACUUUCUGCGAACACAAUUAAUAAAGGAGAUGCCCAGGGUUAACCUCCAAACCAAUAUAAGAUUCAUUUGACAACCUUAUGAACACUACAUAGACCCAAAUCUCCUCACUAAAAGUAAUAUUGAAAAAGAUUAUACGGCCUAUGCUUUUGAUGAUACCUCUAGAUCCAUUCAACAGUUCACAAGUACAAACUGUAAACAACAAAAGUUACGUGGUCAAAGCAUUUAUUGUACUAAAUUCCAGAUAAAUCAAUUUAUGUUGAAAACUAAUCAUUCAAUAAUUAUAGAAGAUAAGAUAAUUAGUGCUGAAACCUUAUUCUAUACUAAUUUAACCGAAAAUUGUAUCAUGGAUCUAUGAUAAACUUCAUAAUGAAUUUAAAUUUGACAGAUGUAUCAUAAUCUGAAAAUGAAAUAGAGAAGAAACCUGAAAAGCAAAGAACUGCACAUUUGUCAACUGUAGACUGUUUGAACCCAGAAGAGAUUAUUAUUAUGUAGGUUCUUACUAGAACACAAUACAUUGGGACGCUGUCCAUCCAGAAUAGAAAAUUCUAUGGAGCAUAACCUCUCCAGAGAUAUUCUAAUAACUAAAAGUUGGACGGACAUUCUUCAUUAGAAAAUUGUAGCUACAUAUGUCUGCACACAAAUGACUAGGUUCAAGAUGAAGAUACAUAAAUCUUCACUCUCACCAAGGCUUAUUCAGACCAAGAGCUUCAGGAGAAAUUUCAGUUUGUGACAUCUAUUCUAGACAUUAGUUCACCAAAGAUUGCAUUUGUGUUCAGACAUGUGAAAUCCCUUGUACUCGUAGUACCAAAUGCUAGAGGACAUUCCAAUGCCAUGCAUUUGGGCCAAUUUCCUUGGACAUGAGAGACAAAUAUACAGAGAAACAUACAAUAUCAGCAGAACCAAAAUUCAAAAAGUUUCAAGGAAUUCAUCACUGAACAAAGAAUGAUCAGAUGAAGGUGCAAUUUUAAGUUUUAUCCUGUGCCAGAUGUUUAAUGCAAUGACUUAGUUACUGCUCCAGCUACCAAAGUAUAGCAUACAAGAAACAGAGGGGGACUUUUCAAGGGAGACAGAAAAUGAGAUAUCUAUUAAAUGAAACUCAGACCCAUAUUUCAUAAGCCCAUUUCCUUGUCUACAUCUCAAUAUCUAUCUCUAAGAAAUUAUUAUAUAUUUAGCUUACUAAAAGUAAAAUUUUGAGUUUAGGAUAUGAAACAACUACUCACUUGCAAUUUCAGCCAAAAAGAAAAUGACGAACUUCAAUUACUGUUGAUUUUACAUCAGUCGCAAGCAUUCAGUAGUAUAAGCUUGUAUGGAAAGAUAUAGAAUCUCAAUAAAGAUUAGAAUUCAAUGAAGUCAUAGCCACCUAAACCUAACAGCAGGUCUUGUAUCACAGGCACAAAAAGAACUAUGUAGUAUGUCAAAUAUCUGUACGGUAAUUUUCUGGCUUGUACCACAAAGAGAAAUCAAUUCCUUUGUUCUUUAAUCUCUCAGUUGCAGGACCAAUUCUCUCCAGCAGCUGCACAUUUAAUACAAGAAUAUCAGGUGAAGACUAAGGAAAACAAACAAAAUACAAAAAAAAAAAUAAAUGUUAAUACUUUCUCAUAAAAAAUUUCCUAUUCUAGUCAGCAAUCACAUUCUAAAAUACAGAUAAAGCACACGUCUCUGCAGCAGUCAGUCGUUUGAACUCAAACAGAAACAGACGAGUGGAACGAGGUAAACAGUAACGAAAACAAUACACAUUGUCACGAAUACAUCAACUGAUGGCCCGCAUAUCCAUGAUCACAAAUCCAGUAACAAGCCAGCAACUUCUGGCUGGUGGUAACAACCCAAAAAAGUGACUAAAAGGAUUCAAAUACAUGAACUGAGGCAGAGGACAAGUGAUGGUACUAACUAGGUAAAUAAGAGAAAACAACAUUACAUAUGUUAUACACAAUACCAGAUAUCACAAUCAUCCAGUUCUCCACCAGAUUCCACACCAAACGUGUCCCCACGCCACUCUUUAGCUGUGCUAGUUUCCUGCUCUCCACAGACAUCCACAGUUUUCAUAUGUUCCUACCUACUUUUACCCACCAUUAUUUGGUUUGGAAGCUCCUACAGCUUAAAAUAAGUCCUAACUUCUUAAAAUAAGUCCUAACAGCCAAGGAUCCAGAUGCACAUUUAAGAUGAAUUUCAUGUGCUAAGAUGGAUAGCAACAUUUAGAAGGCCUUCUGGGGCUUGUGAGGAAAGUAUAAGUUUGAGUAAUCGAUAAAAAAUUCAGCUUCAGGGUGUGUCAGUUUGAUGUGUCUUUUGAUCCAUUUCACCUAUUGAAUGGUUACCUACUCAAAGAAACUGUAAUGGAGUAAAGUCCAGUCAAAAUCAUAUAAAACAACCCAGAUUCUUUUCGAAGUAACAAUUAACUAGAAUAAAGAUCUUUGGAGGCAGCUAUACUAGCACGAGAUUGCCUACAACUUAAUUUCUUCUUCUGAUCAAAAGACUGUAAGCACUCCUUUGGAGUGCAGUGACUGGUAAAGUGCUUCUAAAAUCAAAAGCUCCAACUUCAGCUUCAUCCAAAAGUACUAUUAAGUGAAAGUACCUAACCCAAGAAUUAUUAAUGAAAUUAAAAAGCACUUCACAACUGUAAAGAUUCCAACUAAAAGCACCAUAGUCCAGAACGAACUCUAAAGUAAUUAUACAAGAUCUGGGUGGUCAGCCUCCAAAUCAGAUCCAUAGUAAACAAGCUUGCAACCAUCAUGUUUUCUUUCUAGCAAUUGUUAGAGAAUAUUUAGCUUUAUUCCCCUGUUGGAUUUCAUUCACGAUUUGAUGCAUAUAUGGGAUAAUCAUAUAAAAUAUUCUGUUACAGGGAAAAAACGCACGCGCGCGCGCACAAUUACACCUUACGCAAAGAUUGCUGUUUCUUAGUUAAAGCAUCACGAGCUUAAAUCUGGGCUCAUCACUGACAAGAAAUUAAAUUGUGAAUGCAGUAGAUAAGGGGGAUAAUUAACCUUUGCAUGCAAUACACCAUUGGAUACCAAGACUGAUCUAUCAAAUACUGAAAACUUCCCACCAUCCAUGCAAGAAACUGCUCCUCCAGCCUCUUCAACAAUCUGUUAGAAUUUGCAAUAACACAUAUUCCAUUAUGAGUCAAGAGCAGCCAGCAAUAACCACAAGAAGCGAAAGUGACAACUAUCACUUUUAAAACCCUGAAUCUUGAAUGAAAAUAUAUAAUCAGAGCAUCCAAAUUCUUUAUCAAAGUUUGUACCUCAAAGAAGUACAUUUAGUUUAAAUACUGCAAAAUUCUUAACUAAUCUAUGAAAGACUUCAUAUAACACAGUUCUAAGCAUCAUAAGUUGAGCCAUUAUUCUGUUGUGAUCUAAAAGCCACCUUAAUCUCUGUUAUUCUCACUUUUGAGAAUAGUUAUUAAACCUGGCCUGGCCCGGUGGUUUGACCAGUUAACAAGGUGAACAGGCCAUUAGGCCAGGCUGGGUAGCUAAUCUGACUGGACAAGGCACUCAACCGCUAAAUUUCAAUGACUCAGCGGCUCAACCAGAAGAACCAGGAACCCAUGAGGUUUUUUAAGAAACCCUGGUCUGUGAAUUUUGGAGAAAAAAGUUAAUCACAUGCUGCUGCUUCAUUUCAAACAUGCAAUCUCCAACAUGAGGUGGCAAGCCUCCCCGCUGGGCCAGUAGCUCUCCUGAUGUUAGUUGAAGGUUUUCUAUAUAUUUAUUUAUUUCUUAACGUCCUCCCUUUAUUGAAGCCUUUUGUAAAAGCUUCAUUAUGCCCUCAUCCUCUGUGCUAAAAAUUAAGAAAUUAAUAGCCAAAAGAUAUAUUACUGCAAUUCAAUAUCAAUCAAAAUGAUAUAUUAUUACAACUCAUCCACAAGACAAAUUUGAUUCAAAAUAAAAUUUUACCUCUGGAAGUUAAAUUAAAUGAAAUAAAAAUUUACACUUGAAAGUUGGUUUGAAAUACUAGUGAAAUUUAUUGCUCUCAAUCCUUAAAAGUAGUUACUUACUUAACAUUUCAUUGAAAACUGAAGAAAAAUUUUGUUGUAAAUUGUAACAUAGUCUGUUAAUAUCUACGCUUGCAUUAAAAAGUAUAAGUACACUAUAUUUAAUUUUACACUUGAAAGUUGGUUUGAAAUACUAAUGAAAUUUAUUGCUCUUAAUCCUUAAAGUAGUUACUUACUUAACAUUUCAUUGAAAACCGAAGAAAAAUUUUGUUGUAAAUUGUAACAUAUUCUGUUAAUAUCUAUGCAAUAUAUAUUGCAUUAAAAAGUAUAAGUACACUAUAUUUAAUUUUAAGAUCAGAUUCAAUCAACCACCCACUGGUUGAAUCUGUAACCCAUUGACCCACCCCUUUCACCGGUUUCCUGUCCGGGACAGAUUUAAUAAGUAUGGUUUUGAGGCUAUAUUGUUACAUUAGCUCAUAAAGGAAGCAUUCACUUUAUUGGAGACACUGCUUCACCAAAACUUUUCCCUGCUCAGUUGACUUAUAGUCACUGCAAUCUUUACAAGAAAAAUGCAGGCAUAUCUUACACUUCAUGCUGAUAAUAAGCAGAUGGCAUACAGAUGGAAAGGAUAGCAAAAAAUUCCUAAUUUAGCAGAAAAGUCCCAGUACGUUCUUUUUGGUAAGUAAACAUCCUAUUUAUUUGAAGUUCAAUAAAAGUUAGACAGCAAUGUUGUGUCAAAAUAGACCAUUGUCAAUCUGUAUCAUUAAAGCACUAGAUCGAAAGAACAUAAAAGAAAUAAAACUGUACUCUCAAUGAAAUAAGCCUGAUACUUGAAUUUCUACAGGAAUAUUUGGAAAGUAAACUACAGACUCAUCUUUUGCAAGUUUAAAAUGGCACAAUAAAAAAGGAAAAAAUUACCAAUACACCAGCUGCCAUGUCCCAGGGUUUUAGACGAUAUUCCCAAUAGGCUUCAGCAAUCCCAAAAGCAACAUGGCACAUGUCCACGGAAGCAGCUCCAAGCCUUCUAACACCCUGACCAAGAAGAGCACAAACAGACAGAUAGACACAUAAUAAGAUGGAGAAAGAAAGAUAGAAAUAAAUAAGUUAACCAUUAGUUCUUAGUUCGAAAAAGAAAUAAGUGUUUUUAUAUUUGGGAUUAAAUAAAGCUAACAACUAAAAAAGGUAACUCAGGAUUAUGGUUUCUUUUAGUUUAUAUAGUAAGUAGAAGAGAGUUGUACCCUGCUAACAUCAGUAAAUUCCUUGAAUAAAUCAAUGUUGGUAGCCCAUGCAUCAUCAUGUUCAUAUCCAAAUCCAGUCACCAGAAGCGAUUUUUCCACCUAAAUGUCAACAAGUACAAAACGAAUGUUAGCUGGGAGCAAAAGAAAUUCAAAUUAAUAAAUCAUAAACACCUAAAUAGGAAGUGACAUAUUAAUGUAAGUUAUUGUUAGUAUGAUACAGUUGAUCAAACAGAUUGCUUAACAGAUAUAUUGUGGCUUUCAAUGUAAGCACAUUGAAAUUGUUACACAGAAGAAUAUAUUGUAAGCAACAUAAGAUUUGUCACCAUUUCCUUGUAUAGCUUUCCAAGAACUCAGAAGAACUGGAAACUAGUUCUUGCAUAGGGCUUAGAUUGGCAUUGUCUGAUGUAACAGCUUAAGAACUGGAAUUGAAAUGCUACCCUUGUGUAAAAUCUGAAAUUCUCUGAUCAACAAAAGUUUCUUACUUUGCAAAAAAAAAAAGCUUGAAGCAAGCAAAAUGCUGGAUUUUAAUACUUCUGAGAAAUGCUGUUGCCAUGAGAUGUGCAUGUCCUUUAUAAAUAUUAACUCAGAACAAGUUACUUCAUGUAGCCAUCUAAGACCAUGAAACUAUACAAUAAAGAUCGGUUGAAGUUGGGCCAAAAACAGAGCAAGUGAUCCACACUCGGAUCCACUAUUCAUCCGAACGCUCGGCUGUUUCUGGGUUAGUGGAUCCGAGCUCGGAUCCAUACGGAUCCGAGGCACUGUAGCAGCUCGGAUCACUGGUCAGAAAAGGCUGCUUUAUACGCGUAAAACUCAAUUUCACCUCCACCAACUCACAUGGGAUGCUAGACAUGUGAGAAACAUUCCCAGCUGUAAAAGGGAGUUGAAAACAUCAUUUCUUGACCAACCUUUCAUCAUUAAAUAGCCAAAUUCAUUGCAAAAUGAAAAGAGGGAGAUGAUAGAGUAAGAGAUAGAGAGACAUACGGGAGAAGCUUGGAGUCUGCAGAAAUGUAGCUCUUUCAUCUUCCUAGUAUUAGUUUAGCUUAGUAUAGAGUAGUAUAGUUCAACCAUUCUUGUUUAUUAUCUAGAUUAGGAUGAAGAUGGAGGAUGAAGAAGGCAAGGAAGAAAGCUCAUGUGACAAGGGUUGUAUUCCUUCCAAACUCUUUAUCUUUUGUAUUUGAUUCCAAGUUUAGUUAAUAUACAAGUUCUGGAUUUCGUGUGUAAUAUGUGUUUUUAAAGUUUAAGCCUUGGGUUUGGUUGAACUUUCUAUGAUUGUUAGUGUUUAUUAUUUGGUUAUUUGAUUGCUAUGAUUUGAGCAAGUUAUUUAGCACUUUGGCUUCUUAAAUCAUGAUUAAUCUGGUACCAUUAAUUGUGAUUAUCUAAGGUGUUGUUUCUGCAAUGAAAAUUGAGAUUUAACACUAGUUCAAGAAGUGCUAAACAUAGGGAGUACACUCACGAAAGUAGAGGUGCACUUAUGUGGUUUUUAGUGAUUCAUUUCAUGUAAUUUCAUUGAAGAAAUGAACUUGUAGCUAAUUUCAUAACCAUGAAAAUAGGUAUGGAUUAGUUAUGAGUAUAGUUGAUUCACUACGAAAGUAGGUUUCACAUGUUUAAGGAAAUUACACCAUAAUUAGCUUAGAUGUAGUACUCAAUGAUCUAAAUAUAGCACUUGCAUGAGUAGUUAGGGAUACCACAACCUAAGGAGCUUUUAUUUGUUAUUUUGUAUAAUUUCAGUAGGUUAAAUUUGUUAUAAUUCAUUGAUAGUCUAAAUAAUAAAGAAGCUUUAAUAAUACCGGUAAUUGUUCACUCUUCCCUGUGGGAUUGACCCGAUAUAUACCCUAAACUACUAGUUGAUCUGUAUACUUGCAGUGAACGGGUGUAAUUCGAUUUUUUAACUUGUACGUAUGUAAAAUACCCGUCACAAGAUAAAAAGAUAUCUAUAAUAUACCAAAGAACUCGAACAAAUUGGACCUAAGUAACUAUAUACACGUUGUAAAUAACAAAUAACAAAAGUAAAAAAAAAAAUUAAAUCACGUGCAAUUGCAACUUACAAAUCCAUUACUAAGAUUGUAUGAUGAACAAAUUGAUAUUAAAAAAAAAUUAUUUGACAUUGAAAGAACUCCUAAAGAUCUAGUCAACGAGAUUUUGAUCUAACGGUUAAGGUUAAAAUUGCAGGAUUUAAAGGUUUUAGAUUUCAAAUCUCUCCUCGUUCCUUAAAUUCCAUCCAUCCCUUGAUAAAAAAAAUUCUAAGUGUCUAAUAUUCCAUAUCCACGGUUCUUUUACUUUGAACUAUUGUAAUUGCUCUUUGAUGGUUAUUUCACAUCAAAGAAAGAAUUUGAGGUUAUAACUAUAUACUAAUAUCAAGGGACUAAAUUAAUUUCUUACAAACUUUGAGAGUCCAUGGACUUUUUAAAGAGUUUAAAACUAAAUAGAACUUCUUUUGAGAAAAAAAGGACUAAGGAGAACAUUUUGCAAAUAUUUAAGGACCUUCAAAGUAAUUUACGCCACUUGAAUAUGUUUAACAUACAUAUAUGUGUAUAUAUAUAUAUAUAUAUAUCAAUUAAUAAAAUAAUUCAUAAACACCAUUAUUUAUUAGAAAUCUCUAUACUGUAUUAUACGGAUGAGUUUUAGUCAAACUCAUAUUUCAAACUUCGACUGUAUGGUUUGGGGUAUUUUUACAACCGUUACUUCAAUUCUUCUUCUUCUUCCUUAUCCUACAAUUUAUUUAUUUGCCAUAAUAAGCUGUUGGGUUUCAGUUGUGCGAUAUGAUUUCUACCAGGUUUUUUUUUGUAAUUUAAUAAAAUUGUUUAAUGAGCAUUAAUCGUUGUAAAUUAAGUCUUACCCUACUACUAUGGUUUCCACCGAUGACAAAUUUUUCUAUCUUCUUUUGCUUAACAAUUACAAUACUUAUCGUCUUAUUCUCUUCUAUUUCUCUCUUAUGCUCAGUAGUUUUAUUAAGUUUUUUUAUUUUCAGUUUUUUACCUUGCUCUUCCCUUAGUACUUUAUGUUAGUUUUGCUGUGGUAGGAGAAAAUUUUUUCAGCAUCUAGAGCGUGUUGACUAGGAUUGUAGAUUUUGUGAAUGAACAGCUGGGGAAAUACGUCUAUUAGUCUGUCCUUGUUCCUUGAUAUUAAAGGCGUGGUUGUUGUCCCUAAUGUCCCUGUUAAAAGCGCUAUUCAACAAGUAUUAUUGUUAUUUUUCGCUUGAUUUCCAAAUCAAAAUUUUUGUAUGAUUUACUUUGAAUAUUAAAUCUAUGCUGAAUAAUAUUUAAAAAAAAAACUCUAAUAGAGAAAGGAUAGAAUUUAAGUUGUGGGAAGGGAGAUUUGAACCCAAGAGUAUCUAAAUUCUAAAACCUUAACUUUAACUGUUAGACCAAAACCUCCUUGACUCUAAAUAGAAUAAUGGUUAAUCUAGAUUUUAAUAUCAAUAUCAUGGCGUGGAUGAGGAUCUAGAGAAAAGAGGAUACUUUUUAUUAUACAUUGUUUUUCUUUGUCUAAUAAAUUAGUUCUCUAAAAGUAUGGAAUAGUUAAAAUUGUGAGUUUAUAGAGUUAUGGACGGAAUCAGUUUGUUUUUCCUUGUUUAGUUAGUUUAAGGUUCCAUAGGUAGUCUUUACACUUGUUUGUUUAUUUUGUUUCGUAAUUUGGUUGUAAGGUUUGUGGUUAAUGAUUUUGUAUUGCUAUUUACUCAACAUAAAAUUUUAGGUGAGGGAACUAUAUUGCAUCACUGGAAAUUUUCAUUUGCUGCCUUUCAAUUUAAUCCUAUUGGAGCUAUGUUUUUUUUAACUCUUUUCUUGAUUUAAAUUUUCAGGAGUUUCCUGUAACAAUUUAAGCUUGCAUACUUUGUCGGAUAAACUUUUAUGAUUCAAUCGUUGUAUUUGCUUUUGAUAACUUCAACUUUUUAGUAUUUUUGACAUUACUAGAGGAGUUUUAUUUACGGAAUCUUAGUUAGUUCAAAAUUUUCUAAACUAGAAAAUUAUGUAUGUAGCCAGUAACUAAUAUAUGAUUUUUUGGAUUACCACUUCCACUGUGGGAAGGUAUGUUAAAAGAAUAAGCAAUUUUGUGUUUUGUAUUUUGAUUUCUUUUGAAAUAUGUGUUAUGUGAUUUGAUUGUUUUGUCCUACAGAGCAAUUUUGGCAACAAAACUCUUUUUUUUUUUUUUUUGACAUAACAAGAAGAAAGUCCUGGAAAAGUCAAUGUUAAAACCUAUUGAGCCUUUCACAGGAAGCACUUUUAAUAACCAUAUAUAAACAAAACUUUAUAAAAAUAAUCCAUAUAUAAACAAAACUUUAUCAAAAUAAGUAGGAUAUAGCCAACGUUUUAUACUAUUGUCAAUUAGUACAUAAGAAAAUUUUGAACAAUUUGAAAUUGAUCAAAACUUUUUUCGUAGUUAAUUAUCUUUGUAAUGAUCUAAAUUUUUCAAGGUAAUUCUGAAACAAUGAUAGUGUUUAAAAGAGCUCCCAAAUAAUGAAACCUUUGAUACGAUGCAUUCAGUGACUGCAUCUUUUAAACAACGCAUUUAGUAAACAUGUUUUCUAAGAAAAAAGACUGAGUUAAUCUUAUAUACACUGAUAGUGUAUACACUAUCAUAAUGGAUACAUGACAUAUAUGCAAAAUUUAGAAGAGAUUUGAAUAACAAUGCUCCUUUGGAAUUGAUUUUGCAAAAAGUCUUACCUUUUAAUUUACUUGAAUUUUCGUACCCCUUAUACAAUUUAUGCAAUGUGUCUAACUAUUUAUGGCAAUCCAUUACUAACUUUUGAUAUAAUGCAUUCAGUGAGUAAAAAUAUGUAGACAAAUAAAAGAAUACAUUUUGUUAAUGCAGUUUUUAUGGAAACAUGUUCACUAAAUGCGUUUUUUACCCUUUCGGAAGAUAUUUGAAUAACACUACUUCUUUAGAAUUGAUUUCGAAAAACUUACCUUUUGAAAUUUUACUCAAAAUUUUUUGUACCCAUUAGACAAUUCACACAUUGCAUCUAACUAUUUCUACAUAUAACAAUCCAUUACUACAGCUAGGGGUGUUAAAAAAGAACCGAAAAAGCGAGUAACCGAGAAAAUCUAAUUGAUCCAAACUAUAAAAUAGGGUAACUAACUCACAAUUUUUAAAACAAUUAGAUUACCCAAACCUACAUAAAAAAAAAAUUAGGUUAGAAUGUGGUUUUCAAUUUUCAAACAUCGUGAUUACCUAAAACAACCUGCAUAUGUGUAGGCACGUAGGGUUGGUUAGGAUAAUCAGUACCCAAAUCUCAACUCAUAAUUUUUUAGUCAUUUACUAAUAAUAUUUGAGUAAGGAAGACCAUUAUAUAUUUUAUUUUUAAAACUUAUAAACUUAUCUACCUAAACCUAUCUCCCAUUUACCUUGUUCACUUCCUAUAUACAUCGCUACUAACUGCAUUUCUGGUGCUUCUUUUUUUUUUUGCUUUGUCCUUUUUCAAAACUUCUUUUCAUUUCUCAUAGAUUCUAUCAACUUCAUCACUCUAGUAAUUAUUUUGUUUUCAAUUUUUAAAACUUACAUGUUUGGUUGUGGAGUAACUCAUUAAAAAAAUAAAUUGAUAGCUUUCUAGAAAUGGAUGAAAACAAAUAUUCAAAAUAUUUAGUGCUUUAAUAUCUAAUGUGUAUUGAUUUUCUAUAUUGUUGAUAAUUUUUUAGAGUUAUGAUUAAAUACUCUUAUUGAUUUGGAAAAAUGUUGCACUAUUUGAUUUGUUAAUCUAAUUCUUUUUUUAUUCCUAUAAAUAGAAAACAAUAGGUUACACUAAAUACUUAAUCCUAUCCCACCGAUUAAUCGAUCACUAAUUAACCGGUUGAAUUGGGUUAAGGUAUAAUGCAAUUUUGCUGAACUGGUACAUGCACUUAGAGUCAACUAAAUUGCAAAUGGAUUGAUUGUCUGAUCCAUGAACACCCCUAACUACGACGUAUCCUCUCAUCGCUUCCAUGUUGGCUUUUUCUUUUAACUAUUAAUACAAGUACCAGAUUGGGUAGUACAUAUUUUAGUACUUCUUAUUACCGUUUGGAUUAGCUGUUUUUAGGAUAUUUUUGAAAUAUUUUACUAUAACAAUAUAGGUGAAAAACUUUUACUGUAGAAAUUAUUUUUGAGGUUAUUUUUUUGUGUUUUUGAGAUUGGUUUUGGAAUUUUUAAAAUUAUUUUUGUUUGUGUAUUACUGUAACAUUGUAUAUGAAAUUGAAAUUUUUCAAAAAAGACCAAUCCAAAUGGAACUUAAUUUGAAAGUACAAGUACUAUAAUUUAAUGAGAGUACUACUUUUUUAUUUUUGUUGCACUUCUUUUACUAUUUAUCAAUAUUAAAUCUACAACUUAAAUAUUCUAUUGGAUACUAGUAAUAUAUUGUACCUUGAAAAUUCUUUAUAAUAGUUUGUAUUGAUUUACUCAUGAAAUUCAACUUUUACUAUAGAUGAUGAAAAAGAUGCAAUAUAUUUGGUAAAUGAAAAUGUUUGUCUUGCAAUAUAAAUGAAAAUGUUGAUGUCAUGACUACAGAUUUAAUCUUUAUCGAUCUAAUUGUAGAAGAUACAAUAUACUUGUUAGAAAAAAGUUCAAAAAUCUUUCAAACGAUGAUGAAAAAGAACUGCAUAACACCCAAACAAAUCAACAUUUUAAAGAGGGGGAAGAGAAUUAACAAUCUUUCUUAAUCUUGCGGACAACAUUUUGAAGAGGGGAAAGAGAACAGAAGGGAAAAUAUAAUCAAACCCUCAUUCUAACACCAUGAAAAUGGACCAAUUCUAUAACUUAUACGCUAUGUUUUUGUCAAUGUAACGCUUUCUACUUCUAGUCCGAUCUUCGGUUUUUACUUUCUCUGCUAUGUGAUGAACUUGGAAUUGACUCACUUGGUCCAUUUACACUACUAUCUGACUCAUUGAACUGAGAAGACGAACUUGAAAUUGUGUAAAUUGGUGCAUCUACGCUAUCAUCUGACUCAUUGAACUCAGAAGAUGAACUUGAAAUUGAGAUAAUUGGUGCAUCUUCACUAUUAUUUGACACAUUGAACUGGGAAGUCAUCUGUGCCAAGAAUUCUAUAGCUAGCUUCGCUUCCUUUCGAGCCUGCAAAGCCUCCUCAGCCUUCAUCUCAGCCCAACGCCUGUGUAAUUCAGCAGCCUCCUUCAUCGUCCGCUCAGAAAUCACCGAUGCAGCUAUCAGCUGAUUUGCGAAAUGCCGAUCAAUCAUUAACAUUUUAGUUUUCUCAUCUGCACCAAGAUUGAAAAAAUUGAAAUUUGGAUCAGCACAAGAACGGCAUAUGUAUGGGACCCCCCGGAUGGUUAUAGAGAUGGAGGUUGAGGUUGCGGCUGCUCCAGAAUUAAUGCAGGAGAGAUGAGUGAUUGCCGGGCAGCAAUAGCAAUUGACUAGAUCUGAAGAGGGGUUGGGAUUUUCUGGUUCAUAGACUUGGAAACAAAUUGGACAAUAGGCUCCACGAUACACGUUGAGUAAACAAGAUGUGCAAAGUUGCAAAUAGUUGUUAUUGUGAUAGACAUGGUGUAGAAAUGGAGGUUUCCCCAGAUCACAAAGCACACACUGACCGUUCACCAUGUUUUCUUGAUCAAUUUGCUGAAAAGAAAUUGAGUUUUGGUUUAUGAAUGAACAGAAGCAAUAUCAAUUUUAGGUAUUGCUCUUUUAUUCAGUCAUUGGCACGGUGUAAGAAGGAUGGAAUUCAUGGCUAAAUAUGGUGCAUAAGUAGGAACAAAGCUGUGGAUGGUUAAACUUAUGAUAGACCUGGUUUAGAAAUAGAGGUUUUUCCAACUCACAAGGCAUCUUCCUUCAUCAUUUGUGAUCAAUUUAUAGAAAAAUGACAUAAGUGUGGUGUAUUUGAUUUUAUUUUUCGUUUUUUUUUAAUGGGGGAUGAAAUGAAAGAUAGUGACAAAGGAAUUUAUAGCUAAAGAUUGAGCAUUAAUAGGAGCAGCAGAAAUAUUUAGGAUAAAUAAUUAUGAAUCCGCAUCAGAAUUGACACUACUGCCACUAUACUAAUAUACAAGAAAAAAAAUAAAUAUAUGGUAAUUAACAAUUACAUUGCCAUAUAUCGAAUACGUUACAAAAUUAAUUACAUGAAAAAAUAAGCCAUUUGUGACUAAUAUACAUGGUAAGUUGGUAAUGUCUAAAUUAAUUAUCCUACAUUACCAACCUUCAUCAAGAAAAUUAAGUUUUAUUAUUUUUGAUGAUGAUAUUUCUUACAGUACCAAAAAAAAAAAAAGAGGAAAAAAAAGCAAUGUAUCCUUGGAGUGGCCUAAGUUCUAAGAUCACAUAAUUGAGACAAAGUUGGCGAUCGAGUGUAGAGAACAGUUGGUUGCUCAAUUCUGGUGGGCAGUGUACAUAUAUCUUCUUAAACAGAAUCAAUCAAUGCGAAUUAAGAGAAUAGUUAAUGUUGUUAACAAAUUUCCUCCUAGGCAUUGAAUAGUUAAUGCUGUCAAUAAAUUUCCUUCUAGGCAUUGCUUAUCCAUUUGGUUAUUUCUAAAAAAGAGAAUGAAAGAAAGGAAAAAGAUUUUGAAAUAUAAUGUUUAUUUCUGUGUUUAAGAAAGGGUUGGCAGCUAAAAUGUAUUAAAGGCAUAUAAAAGCACACAUAUGCAUUAUUCACGGUUGAUAAUACUUGCUAUAAGCAAGUUGAUUAGUCUCUGAUUAAGAAGUAAGAAAAUGUACUUAACGUUCUAAUAUGUGCAAUCUACGACAUUCUUGUGGAAUUAAUGAGAAAAAAAAGUAGUACAUGGGUUAUUAACUAUGAUUAUAGGAACAGCAUCUAUAGGUAAUUAAAAAAAAUCUGUUAUAAUUAUAGAUGAAAACUAUAGAUUCGAACAUUUAAAGAUAGAUUUAAGUUUUGGAUAUGCUACUAAAGAACAAAAAAAAUUCAAAAUAAAAGAAAUUGAAAAGUUUCUUAUUAUGCGAAGAUUAGAAUAUUAUCCAUUGUAGAUACUUAGAGUUGAUGAUAAUUAAUAUGUGAUAAUGACAACAACAGUAAGUAAAUAUGUGAUAAUUAAUUAUAGCCGCUUAUGUUAUAUAUUGCAAAUUGUGCACUUGUUAGCCGUUCUGAGUAAAAGAUUGUGAGUCGGUGAUGUCUAUCCAAAGCAUCACCAACCUUUAUUAAGGGAAAAAAUAAAAAAGAAACAACAGGAAAAAAUAAAAAGUUUUUCCAACUUGGCAAUUGCAAAGUAGCCCUAUGAACUUUCUUUGGUUUACAAGAGCCCCUUAAACUAAAUUUUCAGCACCAUGCAUCCUCGAACAAUCAAUUUGACGGAUGUACUUGAACCAACUCAUGGAUGCUAGGAGUUAAUGAGUAAAAAGUCAUUAAGAUAUCUAAAUUUACUAAAGAGGUGAAGAGAAAGAAAAAAAAGAGGGCAUUUUGGCAACUUAAUUGAAUCUAGGGAUAUUAAUAACUUUUAAUCGUCAAAUUCCUUGCAUGGAAAACUCAAUUUAAGUACAACACAAAAAAUAUAUAGUACAAUGUAUACAGUGCUGUAACAUAUAAUUUAAAAGUAUUUUGAGGCGUAAAUGAGUCUAAAGGAGCAUAAAUUUGAACAAUUUACCUGACUCAAGUUCGAUCUUAAAUUCGAUUAAAUACUUAAUUUGAUCCUUAGAAUCGACUCGAUAGUAUUUAGGGAGCUCGACUACGCGGCAGUCAAAUUUUUAGUAAUUAUAGUUUACAAAUUUGAAAGCAUUUCAGUUCAUUAACAGCACAAUUUGCAACUUAAAGAAAGUUUAUAGGGUUUUUCACCUAAUUUUUAUAUGCUUACUGGAUAUAAAAGUUACGUGCUUCCAAUUUUUCAUGGUAGUGUAUGUAUAUUUAUGAAGGAAUUGUUUGAUCACCCAUUAGACCAAAAUUUAUUCUUUCAGAAAGCAUAACCGUUUUGAGAGAGAAUUCACUUGGCCAGAGACUUGAUUCCGUUAACUAACUUCAGUGGCAAAUUCUUUCCAGUCAGGAUUACUUGCAAAGAAAAGCAUAUGUGCAAAAUGAACGUUCAAGCUAUUCUAAAACAUUUGUUCUUUGUGACACGCCAUCCACUUUUUCAUACUUGACAAUAAAUGUGAUUCUCUCCCAAAGCAAAACUAGUAACUAUUUUUAUGAUGUAAACAUAUUUGAAACAAUGAGGUUCACCCCUCAAUCUGGUACUAAUUAUAUGCAUUUGGCGUCAUUUUUUUCUUUACUAAUUUCAGGGAUGCAAUUAGAUUUGCACUCUCUUUAUACCUGUUGAUUAUAUCUAUUUGAGUUUCUGCACCUUGUGUAAAAGUGGAACCUCUAUGCUUGAUCGUUUCUGAGAGCUGGAGUUUCAUUUUCCCACUUGCAAACUUCGAUUCAAAAUGAAUCUAUUUUGGUCAACCAUCCUACUGGCAACGUUGCUUAUAAUCUCUUCAGGUACAUCUGUUUUAACAAUCUGCAUUUUGAUUUGAAAUUUCAAUAUGGCACUUAGACGGAACUUUGCUAUAUAUUACUCAAAAGCGCUAGCAAGGAAUUCUUGAAAAAUUAGUUUUCAUUUGAUCGUUUCUUUGUCUGCAUUUUUCGGAAUAGCAGUUCAGUCUUGUGUCUUGGGAUUAGUCGCAUAUGCUUCUUUUGUGCUGUAAUGGUGCCUUCAAAGUUAUAUCAGAUAUUAGAAAUCGAGCAUCACAUAUGUGGAUAGUAAUCUGUUGGUUUGACAAGGGUCAGGGAAUGGCUGGUAGAGUUUUCUAUGUAGAUGCAUAAUUCGAAUUUUAGAGGUAAUAGUUGAGGAUGGACGGGUAUGGAGGGACAAAAAAAAUUAAGAAUUUUAUCCUUAAAAACCAACCAUAUAAGAGGAUUCGGGAUACGAACGAUUGUCAGUGACAACCAUCUAGAGCGAUGUAAUAUAUUCUAAACACUUCCUGCGAAUUACUUGUAAAACUUUAUAAUAUACACACAAUUAUUAUGCAAAGGGUCCACAUAAAUAGUAACAAAAUGUCACGCUCCUAUUGUAAACAUAUACGAACAAUUAAGAAGUAGUUACAAUUUGUUUAAAAAAUAUUACACUGUUUUGGAUAGUUGUCACUGAUAACCGUCCAUGCCCUGCAUUCGCACAAAGAAUUAUCAAAAUUAAUGAUAGACUAAAGAGUUAUCUCCCUUAAUCCAUAAAAUAACUAUGUCCUAGUUUCAAUUACCAAAUAAUUUGUCAAAUGAGCAAGAUCUUAGCUUUGGGAACCUCGAUUUCUUACUUCAUAAAGUAAAAAGUUGGAAUUAUAUUGGAAUUUUGAAAUUUUCAUACUUGUAAUUCUAAUUGAGUUGAAUUUACCAUUUGAAUAUCACACUUGGCUUAAACUGAUUUAACCAAUUCGUCUCUACUUUGUAGACAUUUUGUUGAUAUAGUUUUAUAUUGUUGUCGUCUGUGAAAAAAUAAAAAAAAAUUGAAAAAUACCAUACGAAAUAUUAUGCGGCAUUGAUCAUAUAAUUCCCUGCAUCAUCUAUUGCUUGUUUGUGGUUUGAGAAUGCAUUAGAACUCAACGUUGCAAUUACAUUUUACUGUACUUCUUUGCUCAAAUUUAGUGAAAAUUAUUUUUAAACGCUACUGUGUUGAAUCAAAUGGAGAAGUUUAGCCGGCGUAAAUCAAUAUUUUUCAUGAAUAAAGUCAACCAAUUUAAUUAAACAGGAUCCUAAUCCAUAUUAUCUACCUCUAAUACUUUCACUUUAUGAGCUUUAUCAUUUUUUUUUCUUUGGGAAGAAUUAAGCAUCUUAUACUAUGUGUGAAGUUACAACUAGAGAGAUAAACUGCAAAAACACAUCUACUGAACUUCAUAUAUUCAACUCCAUUUGCAGGCUUAGGAGUUGAAGUUGUUAGUUGCAUAACAAUUCCAGAGCAUAUCUGUCAUGAGAAGAUUUACACCAACAAAUGUCAGCCAAAAAAAUGCACACAAAAAUGUUCAACAAAACCAAGUGGUAAGGGCACAUGCAGAGGCAACAUUUGUGAAUGCAAAUAUUAUUGCAAGCAACCUCCAAAGUGAUCCAAAUUUUCACGUAUAUAUAACUUGAGGCAUAUCACCAGGAUAUAUAUUGUUGUUAUUCAUGAGCCAAGAUUGUUUUGUACAUAGUUAAGUUUAUGCAUCUUGCUUCUGUUUGUUGAUUUACACACUUGAUUACUUGACUUAGCUGAAAUGAUAUGUUGUAGACAAUGACAUUUUUUCAUUUUUAGCCCAAAUAGGAGGAAGUUAAGAAUAUUAAGAACCCUCUCCAUUGAGAUAUUAAGAAUAUCAAAAUGGACAUAUACAGCACUUUUUUUGUCCAAUGUAAGUCCACUUCUAACAUAGAAAAAGGUGAAAAAGUAUCCUCUUGAAUGCAUAUGUCAAGGCUGCAUUCCAAAUUUCUAAUAAGUGGUUCCAUUUCUAUACAUUCUGAGCAUAGCCAAAAAUGGAAGAAAGAAAAAUGUUCUUGGACGGUACAAUAUUUUAUAUGGUCGAAAUUAGAGGUUUGUAGCACCCAGAAAUUGAAGAUUACACAAAUGAUAAAGGAGUAAAUGCAAGAAGUUGCAUUAGCCCACUUGCUUUUCUUUUCUUUUCUUUUUCUGUCAGCAAAUUAGUUGAGAUUGAAAUUAUUAAACUUCGUGAUCCUCUCGUCCAAAUAGUUUGCAAAAAAAUCAUCUUAUAUUAAACUUGGGAUAGAGAUAUCCAAUCACAUGACUAAAUGAGAAUGCAAUAGAGCUAAAAUUUCAAGCUCAGAAGCAUAAGGAAUAGGCUUAGAGAAGUUGAUUCGAUCAUUCUCAAUAAUGUCUCAAUAACUACCUAAUAAUAUAAUCUUCUAACCCCUUAAACGAUUCAUCUAAUCAUGUUCAACAUUGUAUCAAAUCCAGUAAACUUUUACAACAAUAUGCUAGACUAAAUUUUCUUAAUUACUUGGAUUUAAUUACGUAUCUAAUCAUCUCUACCUAAGAAUAGUAUCUUCCAAUCCAUUAAACGAUUCAUCUAAUCAUGUUCAACAUUGUAUCAAAUCCAUAAACUUUUUACAACAAUAUGCUAGACUAACUUUUUUAAUUAAUUAGAUUUAAUUAAGUGUACGGACAGAAUAAUAGAAUGUGAACAGAGAAAAGCAAAAGCGAAAGUGAAAGCAAAAACACCAUCAAAUGGACCACCACAAAGGUUAAUUCUCAAUUAAGGUUGGACAGAUCAUUACUGCCAUGAGAUGGUGUAAGAUGGCAUGUUGUAAAUCUUGAUUUACAGAUAGAUCAUCUCACAACCAUAUAGGAUCAUCAUAUGUAAUUGUAAAUUGCAUAUAUUUUAGUGGACAGUUUAUCAUAGACUUAGUGGACAACACAGUCUAUCAUAUAUUUUAGUGUACACCAGAAUUUAUAAAUGCGUGUGCACAGUAAUCCUUUGUGUCUUGAUGGUACGUGAGAUGAUUCUUCAUCAAAAUUUGGGAGGCACAUGGCAAAUUCUAAUGUUUUUAUGACUGCAAUAUCACAUCUAAAUUCUGUAUUCUAAAAAUGGUAGGUCUCCUGAAGAAUGAAGCGUAUGAAAGAGAUUGGCGACUUUGAUGACUUCCUUUCUUUCGGUCUUUUUUUAAUUAUAUCAGAUGUCCCUGAUGGGACUUUUCUUUCUGUCUGGUAAUGACUUUUCUAACAAGACCACUGUCUUUUCACCACUUCAAGUAAACUCCAUCAUUAAGGGAGAAGUUCGCUAAUUCUGGUGUUCUAAGGAAGUUCUCCUCCCUCUACAAUCGGGUACAUAACUAUUUUUGGUUACAACUUUUGGUGAUUCAAUCAGCAGCAGAAGAUGGAGAUUGGGCAAAGAAACGACCAUUUCAGUCCUCACUGGAAAAGGGUAAGUGAAACUGCAAAGUUCAGUGUCUAAUUUCCCCGUGUUUAGUUCCUUUUCAAACGUAAAAAUGCAUUUUCUAUGUCCAGACAAAUCCAGCAAUUGAUCAACGACUUAAGAAACAGUGUAAAGAAGACCCUUUCUGACUUGUAUACUUCUGUACUGAUAGGAUCCGUCUUUCAUAGAAGGGCCAGAUUCUGCAGGAUCAUUUAGUAUUCCGGUCCAAGCUUUGAACAUCGCAUGGGGAAGAGACCAUCGUUACUGGCGAUGGAUUACGCUUGGCGAAGACGAAAAUAGGUAAAAUGUUAAGUCCUGACAAUUUCUUAAUUGAUGCUUAGCCAUUUCUGUGUACAGGAGACUAUUCUGCUAGACUAGUCCUAGUUUUUAUUAUUAUUAUUAAAAGAGAAUCAAUAAUAGUUCUUCAUUUAUCUUAUGAUGAUUCAAACCCGUAACCUCUUGGUUACAGACGAAACAUUUUAACAACUAAGUCAUGCUUGUUGUCAAACUAGUCCUACUUAAGCUAGUUUGAUGGCCCAAAUCUGUAGAGUAUACCUCAUGCAUGUAAUCUUUUUUGACUUGUAUAUUACUGCCUUUACCUGGUAUACCUGACCAUAUGACUAAAAUGGAAUUAAUCUCAUCUUGCUUACAGGUCAGUUGGCUUUGAGCAAGCUGUAUUACUCGAUCAAGUGAACUGGUUUGAAGUGACUGGAAUGUUGGACAUUCCAUGCUUGAACUUGGCCGUGCACACCACCUAUAGACUAUACUAUGUAGUAAAGUUCUUGCCUGGUGCAUUUGGGUGGCAUACGGCCGAUGUCAAAUUUAUGGUGAAGUUCAAAAUACUCAGGAGAUCAUGUCUACUGAGCUCAUCAUACUGGAGACCUACAAGAAGCAACCUGAUCAGUGGCAUGAGAUACCUGGUGGUAAACCCUUUGUUGUUAACGAUGAAGUUCUAAUCACUACCGUUGAGUUUGGAAUGUUUGAAGUGGAAACUGAUUGGUGGAAGGGUGGCAUGGUACUUGGAGGGGUCAAAGUUAAACCAGACAACCCUCCUGCCACAGAGCAGCAAUAAAUAAGAGUCUUUACUAUUGUUCUUAUCAUCAUUUUUUCCUUUUUUGGAGAGAAGGAAAUGGAUAAGAUUUGAGGAAUAUUGAGCUAUGUUGCAGUCGUUCCUUCUCUUCCAAGGCCUUGGAAUGUGUUUAUUUGUUUAUCCUCGGUGAAGCCGGACACCAUCUCAAUAUUUGUGUAUGCGCAUGCUUGAAAAAAUCAAGUGCUGUGGUUAUGGUUUCCAGACAUCCUACCUUGCUGCUUCCAGGCAUCUAACCAAUUCUUUAUCCAUUUUGCUUUUUUGGCAACAUAUUGAGUUGUUCCUUUUCUUUUUUUUUUUGUCCCCUAUGGGAAGCAACAUUUCUAGGAUUAAAGAUCAAUUUCAUUUCCAUUGUAAUGAGUACAUGCCUUCUCCUUUAUACUUCUUUUUUUCUGGGAUGCUGAUCAUUUUCUUUGUUUUAUUUAAGUCGUUUGGCCUUUUGCUUUUUUUUGGCAAAUUUCCCAUUUAAAGAUAGCAAAGGAGCAUAGGCAGCAGGCGCUCAUCCUCUGCCUGCUAAUGCAAGAAGAAUACUACUACCUUUUCUAAACUUUUCAAUGGCUGAGAAUAACUUUACAAAAAGUAGGCAAUCUGAAUGUCUUGAUUAUAGCCGUUAGUUAUCAGGAGAAGAAUAAUCUUCUACUAAAAGAUUCGUAAAAAACCGACAUUCACGUGAAGCCCAGCAUGCAACUUGUAGCCAUCAAGAAUGUGUGCUUCCUAGCUUGAGAUUCGAGGUCCACUAAAAGAGAAUAUAUCAACCUUUAACAAAGCAAUCAUGCUUGCAGAAUAUAAGCGCUGCUACCUGCAGCAUAAACAAGGCUCCCCAAAGACUUCCUUUAGAACGAAAUGGGGGCAGAGUGGUCACAAGAUGAGGUAUCACAGCCUACUGAAGAACACAGAAAGGAAACCCCUCCAUGCACUCCACAGAUCAACAAUAAUGAGUCUGGGGCAAUUCAGGAGACUGCCACAGAACUUAAGCUUCCUCACAAUCACGAAGAGAUUCUCAAAGAUGCUGAUGCACCGGUUGACAAGUCGUCUACUGAGAAGCUCUAUGAUCAGCUAUAUGCAGGAGUAUUCUUAAACCAAAAAAAGAAGGCAAGUGAUUCUGUUUUUCAACACAUUCACAAAUUUUAGUAGGUAUCUGCAAACAUCCACACGGUUUACAGAUUUAGUAGUAUUCAAAGUAAUGCAUCCUACUGAGUCUGAAAUCCUGUUGGGUAGCCAAGUGAAUUAAAAAUUCCAAACAGAGCUAUCAUCACCAUUUCUUUCAUAUUUUUUUCAUAAAAUAUGAACUUAAUUAUGCAAGAAUAGUUUUUACCAGAGACUUUUAUGUAAUGCAGAAGUAUUGGAUUGAUAGGACCUCUAAGAAGAACUGCUUCAUGCUAUAUGCAAGAAAUCUUUCAAUAACCUGGGCUGAAGACAGAUCCUGCUGGCACUGGCCCUUCAUAAAAGAAUCCAGGUAGCUACCGAGAAGCAUAGUUAGCAGACAAAACAAGAAGUCUGCUAACUGUGUCUAGCUCCAUCCAGUACCCUAAUAGUCCUUAUUUAUUAUUAGCAGGACAAGAACUGGGUAAACAAAGAACAACGACACGUUGCAUCAGAAAUCGAAUAAUAAACUAAGAGAUGAAAGUCAUAAUUUUUGUAGAAUAGUUAUGAAGUUUAACACUUCUUGGAAAGAAUCUUUUCGAGUAAACGGUUAGUCACCAAAAGCCAUGCCAUUUGUUAUGCACAAUCAAAAUUCAAAAACCAGAUAUGCCAAAAACACAACCAAUAACAGAUUUAUCAUGUUUUACAGACUGAUGCUUCUGGACUAUAAACUGAUUACUAGUGCUGCUUCCUAUUUUGCAGUGAUGUGACUCUAGUGCUGCAGAGCUGCUGAACGUUUGCUGGCUGGAAAUUCAUGGAUGGUUCAACACGGUCAAUCUCACACCAAGAACUCUCUAUCAGGUUGUAUUUGUUCUUAUGUUAAAAGAUCCUGCUUAUGGAUGGGGAAUUCCAGUGAACUUCAGACUCAUUCUAGCAGAUGGAAGCAGACAGGAACACAAAGAAAAUAUGAUGAAAAACCUAGGGGAAAGUGGAUAGAAAUCCUAGCAGGAGAAUUUGAGACGUUGCCAGAGAAUGAUGGGAAUAUGGAGUGUUCAAUGUAUGAAUAUGAGGGUGGGGGUGGAAGAGAGGACUGGUCAUAAAAGGAAUUCUCAUUCGACCAAAAGACUGAAGUUCUUCAGCAAUCCGCUACGACUGCAGAGGCAAUUUAUGCUGGCCAAAGUUUACUUUCAAAUCACACGGGAUGAAGAAUCCAAUUACAAA
rnacentral:lncRNA from 1 species